rnacentral:rRNA from 1 species
GGGGGGGGGGGGGGGGGGGGGGGGGGGGGGGGGGGGGGGGGGGGGGGGGGGGGGGUUGCUUCUCGGAUGUUGUGGGGGGACGGGUGGUUAACGCGGGUAUACCCUACCGCUAGGCCGGGGAAAGCUUCGGGAACCCGUAGCUCAUCCGGGAGGAACUUUUUAACCGCAUUGUUCAAAAGUACAAGCCUGUCUUUCGGUCUCUUCUAGAUGAAUCCGCGCUGCAUUAGCUAGUUGGUAAGGUAACGGCUUACCAAGGCAACGAUGCAUAGCCGACCUGAGAGGGUGAUCGGCCACACUGGAACUGAGACACGGUCCAGACUCCUACGGGAGGCAGCAGUAGGGAAUCUUCCGCAAUGGGCGAAAGCCUGACGGAGCAACGCCGCGUGAGUGAUGAAGGUCUUCGGAUCGUAAAACUCUGUUAUUAGGGAAGAACAUAUGUGUAAGUAACUGUGCACAUCUUGACGGUACCUAAUCAGAAAGCCACGGCUAACUACGUG